rnacentral:tRNA from 2 species
GCCGCGGUAGCUCAGCGGGAGAGCAUCCGGCUGAAGACCGGAGGGUCCCGGGUUCAAAUCCCGGCCGCGGCACCA